CACUGUCCUGGAUUGCCAACUUUAUAAUAAAAUUCUUCAAUCUUGGUUGACUUGCCAGUUUACAGAAUGCAAACUUCACUUGUUGCCUUUAAUUUUUAGAACUAUCCCCUUUGCAGUUAGCAUCAUGCUUUUCACGAAGGAUAACCACCAACACAUUAUCAAAUAUUAAUGAUUUAUGCAGUUCCUAGAUCCUUUGCAGUUUUAAAGUUCUUGAAUCAUGUUUUGUUUUAGUCAAAACAUAUUUUGAGGGAUUCGCUCCUAAUGCUCAAUCUGGAGUUGAAUUAGUCUUUGCAAAUAGCUGAAAUUCUGCUUAUUAUUCUUCACUCGCUGUUCUUUUCUAAUUAAAAUAGGAUAAGUACGUUAGAUGGUUAGAGAAUAGAUAUUGCAUGCAUUAUUUAGAUUAUUUGAUGUAAUUGUGUUUUGUUUUUACAUUUGAGUUUCGUCUUUUUGGCAUUGAUUCUUAGUCAAAUUUAAAUUUCCUUGCAGCUCUUGUCUCAAGGCAAUUUGUGGGCAUGACUCGCAUAAGAAUGGAAGGCCUCCUUGCUGCAUUCCUCAAGUUGGUUGGGACAGGAAAACAACAUACUUAUGUUGAGACUGAAAAUAUCAGAUAUAUGUACUAGCCUAUUUAAGGCUUGAAGCUCUUUACUUGCUUGUUAUUACAAACAAACAGAGUAAUAUUUUGGAGGACUUAGAGACUUUACGGAUGCUUUCUAAAAUAAUAUCCUUGAUUUUUCCUUCCUCACUAAUCAGAACUCCAAGGUUCCAUAACAUUUAUUUCCAAGUUCAAACCCUUGUAAUUUUGUUGACUACAUUGCUUGUGAAACUUUUAAAAUUAAGAUGAUCAAAGUUAAGUUGAACACGUCAAUUGAUCAAUAUCCCCUCCCUCUUCAAAUUUCUUCUUGUGUCUUUUUUCUUUAAACAACACCUGCCUACAUAAUGUAACUUUAACCUACUUUUCCCCCUCUUCCACUUCCAAUUUUCUGAUUCAACUAUAUGGUUGAGUCAUUAUGAUUAUGUCCUGUUUUACUUGUAUGCAUGUUCAUUCUACUGAUAUACUUGUUCCUGUGUCUGUUGAUCCUUCCAUAUUCUAAAGCUCUUCCUCUUUCAUGUUGCUGUAUGUGGUUUUAGUUAAACUUUAUUGUCCCAUGAAUGUUAUUCCUUAACUAUGCAAAGGUACCCAAAUAUACUUACUCUUUGGACGAAGAAGGAAUAGGUAGAGCAUCAUGUAAUCCCCCGUAAUUUUAUACAUUUCAGUUAUAUAUUUUAACGUAUAUUUAAUAUAUUUAAAUAAGGAUUUAUGAAUUUUGGAAAUGAAUAUAUAGUUAUUACAUUUUAAUUAGUAUUACAUUUAGUUAUUCCUUAUGAACUAAAUUAAUUAGUAAUAUAUUUAGUUAUUACAUUUUAAUAUUUUCAACGAUUUACGAAAUCGAAAACGAUUUUAGAAUUUUAAGUUGAAAAGAAUUUGAAUUAAGAAAAUUGAUUGAAUUUAGAAAACGAUCCUAUUCAGUUUCGGACUCGAAUCAUAAAAGCUAAAUCCUAAGUCUAGCCCACUUGAAAAGCCCAAACCAUUAAAAACCCAAAAGAACUCAAACCCUCACCCAAAACAAAUUCACGUAAAAAGAAAAAUCAAAGCCUCCUCUCCCUCCUUCAACUCCACGUACAGCACCCUCACUGCAGUUUUCUCUCCUCCCUUCGUCCGCCGCUUCUGCCAAGCCGCCGGACAACCAUCACCGCCGCCACCGCAAACAGCACCAUCGUGCGCCGCCGUCGCACAGCCCAGCCGCAAGCCACCUCCGUGCGCCGGCCAACUCCCUCUCCUCCUUCUUGAAUUGGCGGAGAAUUCUCUCUAGGCGACUUUUGAAAGUGUUAAGGUGGCCUAUCAGUUUGUUUACACAAGUCUCUAAGGAUCAAUAAGCGUUGCCCAUCUACAGGUUUGAAGAUGAUGCAUCAUUGGGAUCGGGAUUAGAGAGCUUGUAGUUCUAUUCGUUUAAUUAAGUGAUUUAAUUUGUUAACUUGGAUUUGAAAUUUGUCGUACUAUUCGUAUUUCCUUAAUUCAGUUAAUUGGUCUGGACCUAAUAUGUAAUAGAUUAUUUAUGAACCUAAAAGUUAGUUUUAUGUUUUCCGCUGCAAAAUUCUGAAUAAGCCGUAACGUUUUCACACGGGCGAUAAUACUUUGAUAAUUCCCUACAGUUAUAUUUAAAAAGAGGUUAUUUUAGAAAAUGGGAAUUGUCGGGGUGUUACAAAGUGGUAUCAGAGCUAAAGGUUUUACUACAUUUCGUGUCUACCUUUUAUAUCUUAGGCGUCUAACCAACUAAUUAGUUACGUAAAAGUAAUUUCACACUAGUGAAUAAAUUUAAAGUUAUUAGCUAGAAAUGUUUGAAUUUAUUUUAAUAUUGACUCUUGAAUCGUGCUUUGAAAUACGUUUUUGGUUAUGCGAAUUAAUGUAUUUUCUAUUCUUUUGAAAUUCAAAUUAAUAUUUCAAAAAAAA